AGCAGUCGCCGCGGUAAUACGUAGGGUGCGAGCGUUAAUCGGAAUUACUGGGCGUAAAGGGCGCGUAGGCGGACAGUUCAGUCGGGGGUGAAAGCCCGGGGCUCAACCUCGGAAUUGCCUUCGAUACUGGCUGUCUUGAGUAUGAGAGAGGUGUGUGGAACUCCGAGUGUAGAGGUGAAAUUCGUAGAUAUUCGGAAGAACACCAGUGGCGAAGGCGACACACUGGCUCAUUACUGACGCUGAGGCGCGAAAGCGUGGGGAGCAAACAGGAUUAGAUACCCGUGUAGUCCCUGUCUCUUAUAC
rnacentral:rRNA from 1 species